UACGGGGGGGGCAAGCGUUGUUCGGAAUUACUGGGCGUAAAGGGCGCGUAGGCGGCCUUCUAAGUCAGACGUGAAAUCCCCAGGCUUAACUUGGGAACUGCGUCUGAUACUGGGAGGCUUGAAUGCGGGAGAGGGAUGUGGAAUUCCAGGUGUAGCGGUGAAAUGCGUAGAUAUCUGGAGGAACACCGGUGGCGAAGGCGGCAUCCUGGACCGGCAUUGACGCUGAGGCGCGAAAGCCAGGGGAGCAAACGGG
rnacentral:rRNA from 1 species